ensembl:snRNA U6 U6 spliceosomal RNA
GUGCUGGCUGUGGAAGCACAUCUACUAAAAUUAGAACUCUACAGAGAUAGCAUGGCCCCUGUGCAAGGAUGACACACAGAUUUGUGAAGCGUUCCAUAUUUUU